GUCUGAGGAUGACUUUAGAAUGUUUUGACCUGCUUCUCACUCGCUCCUCUGACUGCAAGCAAAUCAUGAAAAAAAUUGUGUUAUUCUAACUACCUUUACAUCCAGUCAUUUCAUUCAACAGUGCAAUUCAAAAGACGGCAUUAGAUGAAAAGCCCAAACUGGGAUUUCUUUUCCUCCUGGCCCCAUUUGGCUCUAUUAUCUGUAUUGAUAUAAACCCCAAUGAAAUGAUCACAAAGAUAGUCUGUCUGACACUCUUGACUCGCCCAUCCUGAUAAGAGACUGUGGGGCUUUAACCGGCCAGCACAGCCAAUGGGAUAAAGCCAAGGUUUUCAGUUGUUACUGCAAGGGUCCUCCUGCUAGGCCCUGUUUUCUCUUUUUUAUCACAUGUGUAAACCCAUUUCCUUAAAUGCCCCCUAACUACACACCCACAUCCACCUAUACACAUCCACACACAGACCAUCACAUGUGUUGAGUGCAUGACAGUAGGAAAGCCCCAAACACAGCGCUAUCUCUGUUUAUGCCAGUGGACUUUCUUCGGUGCACUAUGGAGCUUCAUGGCUAAAGAUAUGUUACACAACGCUUCAAGAAAUCAUGCAGUUGCAACUACGACUCCGCUCACACAGGUAAGAUUCAUCCACAGAGCUGUGAGCUUCUCUACUCAGCGUUCCAUUUUGAGCAUGUCACACUUUCUUCUCUCUCCCAAGGAUUGAAGAGUUGCGAUGAAGGUGUCGGCAGCAGUCGUGCUGGUUUUGAUCAGUGCGGCUUGCCAUGGCUAUGAGGAGCAUGUGGCCCUGGAGAACAGCCUAUUAGAAGCCUGGGGACUGGACGAGACUGACCCUUGGGAUUCCCUGAGGGGGUUAGGGGCUGAGGUGCACCGAGCAUUUACACACGCAAUGGGCGGUGAGGUCAGGAACGAGAUCUCUGGGGGCGUUGACACGGCCGUCCGCUUUGGGAUGUCCAUGUUGAACGACGCAAGAGAUACGGGGGAGAGCGUGUGGGAGCAGAUCUCGGAGGAGGCAGAAAAGCUGGACAGUCAGCUGGAGGAGGACAUGAGCCGCCGGUUGGAGGCCAUCGAGAGUCACGCCGAGGCCUACACUCAGGAGGCGCGCAGGAAGAUCGACCAGAAUCUACUGGAGAUCCAGAAGAACCCCAUCCCUGUGGUCCAGACCUUCCAGGGCCAGCUGGCCCAGACGGCGCUGAAUAUCCGCACGAGCGCUGAGUUCUUUAUCGGAGAGUUUGCGUCACUCUGGGAACCUGCUCUACAGCAAGAUUAAGCUCGCUGCUUAGAUUUUUUCCUUACUUUAGAAGCUCAGCCAUACUGUAUUUUUAUGGAGAUCAUGCUAUGGCUUGAUGUCACCUUGUUUGAAUUCCAGACACUUUACUGUUACAAGAGAUUUCCUUUGCGGUAUUCAGAGUCAAGGGCUUCAGCAAGAGUUGUGUGUGAGAAAUGCAAUUGCAGCUGGCUCAGAAGAGCAGCAGAAUCUGGCUCCCUACGCAGAGGAGCUGAAGGGAAAACUGGAUCCCUUAGCUCAGGACCUGAAGACCCAGCUCACCACAUUGUGGGAUUCCUUCACCAAGAACAGCCAGUAAGAACAGUGUCCCAGAUCUGGCCCUUGCCAGCGGAUGUUUAAUUUAUGCUAACCUAAGAGACUCACUGGCUCAAGACGAUCCCUAUCAGACCUCUGCCAACCAGAUGUUACUCUUGAUGAUCACUUCUUUGAGAUUGUUAUACUAGAGAUGACAGUGACAGAGAAGAGGAUGGUAAUAGUUUCAAAAUAUAUUUAAACAAUAUGUGUGCCACAAGAAUUGUCACAGUUUAAGUCAGACAGUUAAGAAUGUACACCUUGGUCGACACUCCUCUACCACGCCCAAUCGCUAUGACGUCUUCAUUUGAAACUAGAAUUUUAGUUGACAUGGAUUCACUGUGACCUUCCCUCAACAUCAGCAUAAAAUUAGGUCCCAUUUAAAAUAUGGAUGUGAAUAUUCUGUAUUUGAUGUCGAAAUGUCGCAUAAUGGCUCCACUCUACUUGUGUUAGCUUCAGGCACUGAAAAUAUUAAGCCUUCCCGGUUGAAUCUUUUUGUUGGAUUUUUUUUUAUUUUUUUUUAUUGUCACAUGGGCUUCAAAUGUUUCAUUUUAAAAGAAUGACAAAAUAAAUGAUUGC
ensembl:lncRNA